rnacentral:lncRNA from 1 species
GCGAGGUCGAAUCAAUGUUAUGGCACAUAAACAGCCACAAGAUGGCUAUAGACGGUGUCAGCUCAAUCUUGUGCCAUUCAGUGGUGGGGAGUGGCCAUGCAUCUUGUCGGCCUAAUAGGAUCUCUGCCACUUCAUUCCAAUUGAAAUCGCCUGAGAUGGGUGUUAUGUUGUCUCACGUAAGCUGACAGUAGUCCUGAAUAAUCUCUCGUGAUAACAUAAUCCACUGUCCCCUGACCCGUGUCCGAUGCAAG